rnacentral:lncRNA from 10 species
AGCUUCCAACCACCAAUGAAGCACUAAGAAAACUAGAACUUGACACACUUAUUCGGUAGUGGCCCUAUAAGCAAGAUAUGUUUUUAUGAAAAAGAAUUUAUUUUUAAGUUUGAAUUAUAGACACAUGUCUAUCUAAUUUUUGCAGUAAUUUCAAAAUGAUACCUCAAAAGAGCCAGUGCUUGUUUACUGAGGUAGGGAAAAAAGGCAAAUGUGGAAGGGAGAAUUUUUUUCAUGUUUUUCAAAUCAACAUUGUCAUUCUUGCACUAAAGUUGAAUCUUCUAAGCAUUAAAAUAGAUGAGUGUUGCAUACAGACUCUUAAGGUGGCCUGCAUAGCACCUGUCUCCUGGCAUUCAUGCCCUUGUGUGAUCCCCUCCCCUUGAGUGUGGAUAGCACCUGUGACUUGCUUCCAACCAAUGGAACAGGGCAAAGGUGAGAGGAUAUAUGUGAUUACAUCUACCUAAUUAUGUGAUUAGUGUAUAAAUUUGUAGUGUCUGUCCUUUUGGCACUCUCUUGCUCUCGCUGUCUUGUGCGCUCUCUCUCUCUCUCUCUCUCUCUCUCUCACACACACACACACACACACACACCUGGUUUUGAGUAAGUGAGCAACCUCUACAAACUAAGGGCAAGCCCCAGCCAAUAGCCAGUAAGAAACUGAAGCCCUGCAAACAUUCUGAGUAUGCUUAGAGGUAGACUCUUUCCCUAGUUGAGUUUCAGAUGAGAACUCAGCCCAGGUGGCCCCUCGAUGGCAGCCUUGAGAGAUCCGACAAAGAGAACCUUGCUGAGCCUUGUCAAGACUCCGGACCCACAGAAACUGGGAGAAAAUUAAUGUGUAUAGUUGUAAGCCACUAAAUUUUAGUAAUAUUUUUAUGUGACAAAAGAUGCUAAUACAAUGAUUUGAAUUUUUCUUUCUACCUCCAAAAGUUGACUUCAAGGAAGAAAGAGAGAGAAAUCUUAGACAUUAGGCAAGCUGCUGCUUUGAAAAAUAUUAAAUAUUCUCAUAUUUGGAUGUAUAUUAUUGAUUUCCCUCUACCAAUACUCUCUUUGAUGCAUUUUUUAAAAAAACAUACAUACAGAAUAUACCUAGUGAGUAUUUAGAAAAGAAGAGGAAUUGAGCCUGUGAUCUAUUUAGGAUGUGAGAAUUCUUCCUGCCUUCACUCCAAUUUUAAUUCAGUUUAAUGGCAUUUAGAAUUUU